rnacentral:tRNA from 1 species
GCCUGGGUGGCUCAGCGGUUGAGCAUCUGCCUUUGGCUCAGAUAAUGAUCCCCCGGGUA